AGUGAACGCUGGCGGUAGGCCUAACACAUGCAAGUCGAACGGCAGCACAGGAGAGCUUGCUCUCUGGGUGGCGAGUGGCGGACGGGUGAGGAAUACAUCGGAAUCUACUCUGUCGUGGGGGAUAACGUAGGGAAACUUACGCUAAUACCGCAUACGACCUACGGGUGAAAGCAGGGGACCUUCGGGCCUUGCGCGAUUGAAUGAGCCGAUGUCGGAUUAGCUAGUUGGCGGGGUAAAGGCCCACCAAGGCGACGAUCCGUAGCUGGUCUGGGAGGAUGAUCAGCCACACUGGAACGGAGGCACGGUCCAGACUCCUACGGGAGGGAGCAGUGGGGAAUAUUGGACAAUGGGCGCAAGCCUGAUCCAGCCAUACCGCGUGGGUGAAGAAGGCCUUCGGGUUGUAAAGCCCUUUUGUUGGGAAAGAAAUCCAGCUGGCUAAUACCCGGUUGGGAUGACGGUACCCAAAGAAUAAGCACCGGCUAACUUCGUGCCAGCAGCCGCCGCAG
rnacentral:rRNA from 1 species